GAUGAACGCUGGCGGCGUGCCUAACACAUGCAAGUCGAACGGAAGGACACUAAGAUUGUGCUGUUACGGGUGGCGGGUGGCGGGAGGGUGACGAGUGUAUCGGAACCUUCUUUUUCGGGGAGGAUAACGUAAGUAGGGCUAAGAUAAUAGAGGAUAUUCUGUACCGGUGAGAGCAAGGGAGAUUGGCGGCCUUCGUGUAUGUACUAGCCGAUGACGGGCUAGCUAGUUGGGUGGGUAAAGACCCAGCAUGGCAACGAUACGUGGCCGGUGUGAGAGGAUGAUCGGCCACACUGGAACUGAGACACGGACCAGACUCCUACGGGAGGCAGCAGUGGGGAAUAGUGGGCAAUGGGCGCAAGCCUGACCCAGCCAGACCGCGUGGGUGAAGAAGGCCUUCGGGUCGUAAAGCCCUGUUGUUGGGAAAGAACAGCUGUAGGUUAAUACGACGCGUUACUGACGGUACCGAAUGAAUAAGCACCGGCUAACUUCGUG
rnacentral:rRNA from 1 species